rnacentral:misc_RNA from 1 species
GAUGAAGAACGCAGCGAAAUGCGAUAAGUAAUGUGAAUUGCAGAAUUCAGUGAAUCAUCGAAUCUUUGAACGCACAUUGCGCCCGCCAGUAUUCUGGCGGGCAUGCCUGUUCGAGCGUCAUUACAACCCUCAGGCCCCCGGGCCUGGCGUUGGGGAUCGGCGGAAAGCCCCCUGUGGGCAUACGCCGUCCCCCAAAUACAGUGGCGGUCCCGCCGCAGCUUCCAUCGCGUAGUAGCUAACACCUCGCGACUGGAGAGCGGCGCGGCCACGCCGUAAAACACCCAACUCUUCUGAAGUUGACCUCGAAUCAGGUAGGAAUACCCGCUGAACUUAAGCAUAUCAAUAAGCGGAGGA